CUGGGAUUGUGUGAAGAGAGCAAGCGUGGUGUCUGCUGCGGGACAGCUGGUCUGCGGGAUAUAUAUAUACUGCGGGACAGCUGGUCUCAGCCUCAGUGGUUGAGCCCUCAUCUCAGCGCCGAUCAAGACGUCACAUUCAUUUUAUCGUGUCACUGACCAGCCAUGUUCGAAAGGAGGGCAGUCUUCGCAUCCCUUCUCCUCCUGCUGACAGGAGCGCUCGCAACAGAGCCCAGUGAGGAGGUCUCGUCUCGAGUGGCGAUACUGCCCCGGGUGUGGCAUGGCAGCGACUACCUG